UUUUAAUUAAUUUUUGAUGACUUGGUGGGGUCAAAGUUUUAAUUUAUUCAAGUUACCAUAAACUAAUGUUUAAUAUGGCUUUUGAAAUAUAAAUUACUAAAGCAACGUGUUACCACGCAUUGCCACAUGGGUUACCAUGUACUAAUUGUUUUAUAAUAUGGCUUUUCUAUUACGAACAGAACACAUUACCACGCGUUACCACGCGUUACCAUACGCGUUACCAUGUACUAAUUGUCUAUUUGGCUUUUCUAUUACUAAAACAAUGCAUUUCCAUGCGUUAUCUCAGAUAACCAUACGCGUUAACGCCUAGUAAUUCUAUUCAUUAUGGUAUUUUGUUGAUAAAGCAACGCGUUACCACGCGUUACCGUCAAGUUUUUAAUAAAAUGUAUAUAGUAGUUUUUUUUAAAUAAAAGAUGGUAACGCGUGGUAACGCGUGCGCAACUCAUGGUAACGCGUUGUUAGUCAUUGCUUGCAUAUCGAUCUUGUAGUUUUGAACCAUUAGAAAUGAACUUUUAUUGCGGAAGUUUUAUUGUAGCAAUAAUAACUGUUUGAUAUUAGUGGUAACACGUAUGGUAACGCGUGGUAACGCGUUGUUAAAAUUUGAAUUUGGAGCGAAAACAGGUGGCCCAUGCAUAUACAUUAAUUAAACUAAUCCGAAUGGCUAAUUUCCAGUUUGAGAACGAGGUUGUUUACAUGUUGGCGUUGUUCUUGAAUUUACAUAGUACUUUAAAAUAGAAAAAUCUUGAUUUGCGAUGGUUGCAUGAUAUUCAUUCUUCAUUAUCGAUAUAUCUUUUUCGAAUCGAAGGCAAGCUUGCGAAGGAACAUUAGUUGCCGGCAAGGUAUGGAUUUUAACUUAACUUGGACAAACUAUCGCAUAAUAUAAUACUUGUAUAUCGGCAUGUAUACUACAUGUAGUCCAAAUAUGUUAUGCAAAUUUUGUUCGUAUACAUUAACAUAAGCGCUGCGAAAGAAAAUAUUAUGCAGUAAAUAGCCAAAACCUGCGCUUGAUUUUCCCCAAUUUUCAGACAAUCGUCCACAAAAUAUUUGAGACAAACCCCCUCCCCCGAUUUCAAUGUUGUUAGGCACUACAAUAUAGUUUAAUUCCAACAUCAUAUGUUAAAUUUCAACUGCCAGUGACACAGUUGCGGUGCUAGUGUCACCUUAUGUUCGUUUUGGACAAGUACAGUAGGUUUCAACAUUGAAAUAAGGGGGGAGGGGAUCGAUUUAAAAAGUCUCAAUAUAUUUUGUGGACGAUUGUCUUAAAAAUUGAUAAGACUUAGUUAAUAGCAUCUCGAAGUUUUUUUGAAAUCACUUUGUGUGCAUGUGUAGUAGUCACUGUAGAUGAUACUAUUGGGGUUAUUGUUCACACGUAGAAUAGUACAGUGCUGCCAAGUUGACCAGGGGGGGGGGAGAUAUAAAAGAUAUGGGGGGAAAUCCAAGAAAUAUCACUAUAUGUUUGGUAGACGAUUAUAUUAGAAAUUAAGAAAACUUAGAUGGCAGCAGCUCGAAGUUAUUUGAAAUAAUGUUAUGUGCGGCACAAUAGCUGUGGGCGGGGGGGAGGGAGGGGGGGGAGGAGAAUAUAGUGGGGGCAAGUAUUAAAUAUUUAAGGAAUUUUUGUGAAGUAAAAGAAGCGUCUUACUAUUCACUAUAAUUUGGAUAGUAUUGUUAGGGCCAUACAAAGAUCUCUACGUUAUAUAAUGGUUCCAUAUCAAGUCUUCUUCUGAGCCGGAUGGGUUGGGGGGGUGGGGAGGGGAGGGAUGUCGAAUACAUCCUUGGAUCGGUCCGUUAAGUUAGAGAUUUAACCGUGCAUAGUUCUUAGAUAAAGUCCUAUAACUUCACAUGGAUUAAUAAUACUUUAGUUACUCAAGUUAAUUAAUGGAUAAUUGAAUGUUGAUGAUACUAUAAGCAUUUUUAAAUUAAUUUUUGAUUACUUGGUGGGGUCAAAGAUUUAAUUUAUUCAAGUUACCAUAAACUAAUGUUUAAUAUGGCUAAUUUGAAUUAUAAAUUACUAAAGCAACGUGUUACCACGCAUUGCCACAUGCGUUUCCAUGUACUAACCGUCUUAUAAUAUGGCUUUUCUAUUACGAACAGAACACAUUACCACGCGUUACCAUACGCGUUACCAUGUACUAAUUGUCUAUUUGGUUUUUCUAUUACUAAAACAAUGCAUUUCCAUGCGUUAUCUCAGAUAACCAUACGCGUUAAUGCCUAGUAAAUCUAUUCAUUAUGGUAUUUUGUUGAUAAAGCAACGCGUUACCACGCGUUACCAUCAAGUUUUUAAUAAAAUGUAUAUAGUAGUUUUUUUUAAAUAAAAGAUGGUAACGCGUGCGCAACUGAUGGUAACGCGUUGUUAGUCAUUGCUUGCAUAUCGAUCUUGUAGUUUUGAACCAUUAGAAAU
rnacentral:lncRNA from 1 species